rnacentral:rRNA from 1 species
GACGAACGCUGGCGGCGUGCUUAACACAUGCAAGUCGAACGGAAAGGCCCUGCUUUUGUGGGGUGCUCGAGUGGCGAACGGGUGAGUAACACGUGAGUAACCUGCCCUUGACUUUGGGAUAACUUCAGGAAACUGGGGCUAAUACCGGAUAGGAGCUCCUGCUGCAUGGUGGGGGUUGGAAAGUUUCGGCGGUUGGGGAUGGACUCGCGGCUUAUCAGCUUGUUGGUGGGGUAGUGGCUUACCAAGGCUUUGACGGGUAGCCGGCCUGAGAGGGUGACCGGCCCCAUUGGGACUGAGCUACGGCCCAGACUCCUACGGGAGGCAGCAGUGGGGAAUAUUGCACAAUGGGCGGAAGCCUGAUGCAGCAACGCCGCGUGCGGGAUGACGGCCUUCGGGUUGUAAACCGCUUUCGCCUGUGACGAAGCGUGAGUGACGGUAAUGGGUAAAGAAGCACCGGCUAACUACGUG